UAUCUUUAAGGCAUCUUUAUAACGUACGAAACGAACGUAUUAAUUAUUCGAACGCAUUGUUAAAUGGAACGAAUGCUAAAUGUAUUUAUAAGUGUGACUGGUCAGUACGUGUUGUUCAGGUAGCCCUGAAGAAUUUUUAUAUGAAUGUAACAUAGUUUCAUAAGAAGGGUAAUAUUGAAAUGUGUAAACGCGUUUUUUUCUUAAUACCAUUACGAUUCCUAAUACAAUUUUCAAUCAUUUGGGAGUGUAGCUGAAGAAAUAUACAAUAUUUAACCAAUUGCCUUGGCCUCUUAAGAUAGAGAAAAGCAGGAUUCGCUAUGCUUAUCCGGCUAGACCCUUUUGGACAAUGUUUUGAGGCAGGUCAUAUGCGUUCUGUCAGCACGUUUCCCCUUCUUAAGCAAAGGUCCUUGAUAAGGUUAUGGGGAAAUAAGAAAUAUAUUGUAAAGGUUUUAUGACAAAAGUAAACUUUAAUUGCUUUAUAAUUGGCUUUAACGAAAAUUGCUUGUUGAUUGCUCUACGACUCUAGAAAAACUAAACGGCGACCGGUGUCGCUUUAGACCGGUUCGAGUACGCGCACGCACGCGGUUAUACUAGCAAGGAUGAAAACAUAAUACUCAACAGUCCUCCAAGUCGGGGUGUUAUAAAGAAAACGGUCAGUACAAGUCAGGUCAGUUUCCUGCGAGUUGUUGAAGUUUGUAUUUCGCUUUGUGUGUCGUGCAGUAUUAGCUAUUUGCUGUUUGUUGGAUUUUGAUUAUUCAAAAAGAGCCUGCUGCAAACCUUGCCGAUAGUAAAAGGACAACGGAGGUGUCAAUCCAAAAUUGGUUAAGAAGAGUUUUCGAUAGAAAAAAUGUAAUUGCGAAACAGUUUUGAAUAAAUACUUUGUAUAUUUUGAAUAAAAUAUUAUUAUACUAAAAA